GACUUGUGUGCGCCGGAUGCGGCGAUCUGCGGCCAAAAGGUCGUUGCGAUCUGCCCGUCCUGGCGCCGUAAAAUUUGCAACUGGGUCGCCGCUGGCCUUAAUUGAUCGGUGGCGUCUGCUCGGUUGCUCGUUUACUGUGAGAAAAUUGGAGUGUUCAAGGCAGGCGUGGAUUGCAACUGAACAUGUUAGCAUGGAAUAAUAAGAUAGGGCUCCGGCUCAUAUUUUGUUGGUUUCUAGAGCGUGGGAGUAAUGAUUGAUAGGGAUAGUUGGGGGUGCUAGUAUUCAGUGGCCAGAGGUGAAAUUCUCGGAUUCACUGAAGACUAACUUAUGCGAAAGCAUU
rnacentral:rRNA from 1 species